rnacentral:RNase_P_RNA from 1 species
CCAGCAGGCUGGACGGCCGCUGCGGGUUUCGGCCCGGAGAGGAAAGUCCGGACUCCAUCGGGCAGGGUGCCAGGUAACGCCUGGGCGGCGUAAGCCGACGGAAAGUGCAACAGAAACAUACCGCCCUUCCGCUUGCCGGGAGGGUAAGGGUGAAAUGGUGCGGUAAGAGCGCACCGGCGUCCUGGCAACAGGGCGGACGGGCAAACCCCACCCGGAGCAAGGCCGAAUAGGGGAGAAGCGUGCCCGACGCGCUAUCACUCCCGGGUUGGCUGCUUGAGCGCCGUAGCGAUGCGGCGCCUAGAGAAAUGGCCGUCAGUCUUCCGCAGGGAAGGCUACAGAAUCCGGCUUACAGGCCCGCUGGACCA